AGGGAUGUAAAGCAUAAGAUGGACUUGAUGUGCGGUUGCUGGCUUGAAGUUAGAGCAGACCACACAUCAAGGAAAUGAGGACUUAAAUCCUAAACUGGAAAGAACUGAAUUCUAUCAACAGAAGUGAACCUGAAAGCUGAUUCUCCCCCAGAGCCUUUGAUGGGAAUUCAGCCCAGCUGACACCUUGAUGUCCACCUUGUGAUACCUUGAGAAGAAUCCCUGCCCCACCAUGCUGAACUUUUGAUCUACAAAACUAGGCAUCCGAACCUGGAGUGAGGCUGGCAUGGCUGCUAGCAUCCUGAAUCCAUCAGGCACGGAAUUGCUACGAGUAAUAUAAGUGAAAUAAGGACAUAAAACCCUGGGGCCUUAAGAAGGCAACUCCACUGACUCCAAGAAAACAUUUUAACAGAUGUUAU
rnacentral:lncRNA from 1 species